GGGCCCGCACAAGCGGUGGAGCAUGUGGUUUAAUUCGAUGAUACGCGAGGAACCUUACCAGGACUUAAAUGUAAGUUGCAUGAUUCAGAAAUGAAUCUUUCUUCGGACUACUUACAAGGUGCUGCAUGGUUGUCGUCAGCUCGUGCCGUGAGGUGUCAGGUUAAGUCCUAUAACGAGCGCAACCCCUAUCGUUAGUUGCCAUCAAGUAAAGUUGGGAACUCUAGCGAAACUGCCGGUGCAAACCGCGAGGAAGGUGGGGAUGACGUCAAAUCAUCACGGCCCUUACGUCCUGGGGCCACACACGUGCUACAAUGGCCGGUACAGAGAGCAGCCACGUCGCAAGGCGGAG
rnacentral:rRNA from 1 species